rnacentral:rRNA from 1 species
CCUACGGGAGGCAGCAGUGGGGAAUAUUGGGCAAUGGGCGCAAGCCUGACCCAGCAACGCCGCGUGAAGGAAGAAGGCUUUCGGGUUGUAAACUUCUUUUCUCAGGGACGAAGCAAGUGACGGUACCUGAGGAAUAAGCCACGGCUAACUACGUGCCAGCAGCCGCGGGAAUACGUAGGUGGCAAGAGUUAUUCGGAUGUACUGGGUGUAAAGGGGGUGUAGGCGGGGCUGCAAGUCCGAUGUGAAAACCAAGGGCUCAACCUGUGGCCUGCAUUUGAAACUGUAGUGCUUGAGUACUGGAGAGGCAGACGGAAUUCCUAGUGUAGCGGUGAAAUGCGUAGAUAUUAGGAGGAACACCAGCGGCGAAGGCGGUCUGCUGGACAGCAACUGACGCUGAGGCGCGAAAGCGUGGGGAGCAAACAGGAUUAGAUACCCCUGUAAUC